UUACCAAACCCAACCAAACUCAGAAUACCGCAAAGUUAGAGACUGGCAGUGAGACUGCGGGGGAUAAGCUCCGUAGUCGAGAGGGAAAGAGCCCAGACCGCCGUCUAAGGUCCCAAAGUUAACACUAAGUGGCAAAGGAUGUUGAAGUGCCGAGACAACUAGGAGGUUCGCUUAGAAGCAGCUAUCCUUAAAAGAGUGCGUAAUAGCUCACUAGUCGAGUGCUUCUGCGCCGAAAAUGAACGGGACUAAGUGUUACACCGAAGACGCGGCAAGGAAUACUUUUGUAUUCCUUGGGUAGGAGAGCGU
rnacentral:rRNA from 1 species